rnacentral:lncRNA from 12 species
AUGUAUUGUAAUCUUUGCUCAGUCCAACGUGGUCCCUUCACCCGGGCUCCGCUCUUGCCUUCUCCACACUUGUUUGAGACCUGGCCAGGUGCGGACCCCUCCAGAGGUGCGGCCAAGCGGCGGCAGCGGCGGCGGCAGCGGAGACGGCGAGCCAGGAACCUCCCCCCGCGUCCCCAACUUCCCGGUGUUGCGGCGGAACCCCCGGAGAAAGUUUGCAAACUUCCAGCGGGCGCGGCGAGGACGCCGGGGUCACCUCGGGGGCGGGCGGGGGGCUCGCUCCCUCCCGGUGCCGAGCCUGCUGCUGCCACCUCUCCCGCAGGGCUGCCCGCCGCAGCUGGUGGGCGCGCGCGCCCGGGGAGGGGACGGGGCCCUCGAGGGGCACUUGGCUGUCGCUGCAGGCGCAGAGAGCUCGAGGGCGGCGCGGCUCGGUGCGCUCUCACUCCUGCAGCCGUCUCCUGCCUCCGGCCGGUUCUCGCUGGCAUCGUUACCCCCCCCACCCCCACCCCCCGCCGCUGCCCCCAAAUGACAGCUCCCGCUUUUGCCGCGGCGGCGCGGCGGCAGCUCCCGGGACCCCGCGGCGGAGCCUUCCUCUGGCGGCAGAUUUCUCCACGCAACCGCUUAAACUUUUCGCGAAGUUCUUAGAGGGGCAAGACGCGCCAAGGAGCCGAGGACACGUUUUUCUCCCGACCACCGCAUCCCGCUGCUCCUUUGCAGUAGAGAUGUUUCCGGGGGGAGGGAGUAUCCGGUAGAAAAGCCGCAGGCCUUGUGCACCUCCUCCCCAACUUUGCGUGCACGGGGGCCACCCCCCCACCCCCCACUUGAUGCUUGUUCGAGGCCAGAAACUGGAGCGGGUUGCUUGUGUAUGGCGUUGUCACAGAGUCCUCCGGGUGUGUUUGAUUUUUAUUUUUCCCUCCCUCUCUGACAUGUGUCAAGGAAUAAAGGCUGGAUACAGGUCCA